UUGAAGGUUGGGUAACACUAACUGGAGGACCGAACCGACUAAUGUUGAAAAAUUAGCGGAUGACUUGUGGCUGGGGGUGAAAGGCCAAUCAAACCGGGAGAUAGCUGGUUCUCCCCGAAAGCUAUUUAGGUAGCGCCUCGUGAAUUCAUCUCCGGGGGUAGAGCACUGUUUCGGUAAGGGGGUCAUCCCGACUUACCAACCCGAUGCAAACUGCGAAUACCGGAGAAUGUUAUCACGGGAGACACACGGCGGGUGCUAACGUCCGUCGUGAAGAGGGAAACAACCCAGACCGCCAGCUAAGGUCCCAAAGUCAUGGUUAAGUGGGAAACGAUGUGGGAAGGCCCAGACAGCCAGGAUGUUGGCUUAGAAGCAGCCAUCAUUUAAAGAAAGCGUAAUAGCUCACUGGUCGAGUCGGCCUGCGCGGAAGAUGUAACGGGGCUAAACCAUGCACCGAAGCUGCGGCAGCGACGCUUAUGCGUUGUUGGGUAGGGGAGCGUUCUGUAAGCCUGUGAAGGUGUGCUGUGAGGCAUGCUGGAGGUAUCAGAAGUGCGAAUGCUGACAUAAGUAACGAUAAAGCGGGUGAAAAGCCCGCUCGCCGGAAGACCAAGGGUUCCUGUCCAACGUUAAUCGGGGCAGGGUGAGUCGACCCCUAAGGCGAGGCCGAAAGGCGUAGUCGAUGGGAAA
rnacentral:rRNA from 1 species